AAAGUCGUAACAAGGUUUCCGUAGGUGAACCUGCGGAAGGAUCAUCAACAAAUCUAAUGCCGGUCAGCGGCGUAUACCAAUGUGAAUAGCAGGUCUAUUAGAGGUCUGUGAAAGCAGGCCUCUUGGGUCUGUGCCGUUUUUGUUCUUCGGGACAAAAAUAUUAACGAGUAAACAGAGUCUGAUAAAAAGCACAAUAGAAACAACUUUUAACAAUGGAUCUCUUGGCUCUU
rnacentral:misc_RNA from 1 species